AUUAAAGUAGUGUUCCAGCAUAAAGGAAACCAUGCCAAACAUGAUAUAAAUGAAGAUCUGUCCAAAGGAAAUAAUCCAACUAUACGACAUGAUGUCAGUCUUGAAACCGUUGAAACUGGACAGAGUUAUUACACUGCCCCAACCAGCUCCGAAUGCAUGAAGAACCAUGAUGAAUGUGGACACUACUCCCAUGGCCAUGUCACUUGCCUUUGGAGUCACAUAUCUGUGGAGCCCGUUAAGAGCUCCCGGAAGGAACAGGAAUCGCACAAAGCACACUAAAAGAAGAACCAGGGUAACAAUCACCAUGUAGCGUAUAAGUUUUCCAAACUUGGCCGUCUCUGAGAAUUUAUAAAAAAUAAAUGCAAUCACAACCCAAAUGAUUGCGAAUAGGCCAACAAAAU
ensembl:ncRNA asRNA:CR46074 antisense RNA:CR46074